AAGAAGGUCCAUGCAGCUGAGCAGGGUAGUAAGAGUUUUAGGGGGUUAGUUAGCAUGUAGGCUCCUUGAGCUAUUAAGUAGGGAAUCUAGCAAAAGGGCUUUCCCUUUUUCACUCCCAAGUUUCCUGUGAGUUUUCUGUGUAGCACUGAUCCAGGAUUAGGAGUUCUUUCUGCCUCUGCUUUUAUUAUUCCAAAUCCUCCAUGGAGAGACUCCAGUCUGUUGCUGUACAGUCUUAUGAUCCUGAGAAACAGAGUGUUUCCUCUUUACUGGAAGGGCUGCUUAGCUGAAGCAACAAGAUGUCCACCCCAGCAGCUCCAUCUACAAGCACUGUCCUAUGCAGAUUUACAAACAAGUAAUUGCUAAUGAAGACCAACAGAAUAGCCUGGGGAAACAGCCACUGGGCAUCUUACUCCUCUUGCAUUUUGUUUCCUUCUGUGAAAGAGAGUUGGGAGACAGCCAUUGAGAUCUCACUUGUGGUGGUUCAUUGGUUCCUCUUCCAAGCUGGCUACAGCACGAAGCAGAUUCAGAUACUGACUUCCAUGGUGGUGGAGGAAAGCUAGUCCAGACAAGAGGU